rnacentral:rRNA from 1 species
AACGAACGCUGGCGGCAUGCCUAACACAUGCAAGUCGAACGAGACCUUCGGGUCUAGUGGCGCACGGGUGCGUAACGCGUGGGAACCUGCCCUUAGGUUCGGAAUAACUCUCCGAAAGGGGUGCUAAUACCGGAUAAUGUCUUCGGACCAAGGAUUUAUCGCCUUUGGAUGGGCCCGCGUUGGAUUAGCUAGUUGGUAGGGUAAAAGCCUACCAAGGCGACGAUCCAUAGCUGGUCUGAGAGGAUGAUCAGCCACACUGGGACUGAGACACGGCCCAGACUCCUACGGGAGGCAGCAGUGGGGAAUAUUGGACAAUGGGCGAAAGCCUGAUCCAGCAAUGCCGCGUGAGUGAUGAAGGCCUUAGGGUUGUAAAGCUCUUUUAACCGGGAUGAUAAUGACAGUACCGGGAGAAUAAGCUCCGGCUAACUCCGUG